rnacentral:rRNA from 1 species
UUAAUGGAGAGUUUGAUCCUGGCUCAGGACGAACGCUGGCGGCGUGCUUAACACAUGCAAGUCGAACGGAGUUUAAGUUGAAACCUAGUGAUACUUAAACUUAGUGGCGGACGGGUGAGUAACGCGUGGAUAACCUGCCUGAUAGCCCGGGAUAACAGCUGGAAACGGCUGCUAAUACCGGAUACGCUAAUCGGAACGCAUGUUCUGAUUAGGAAAGAUUUAUCACUAUCAGAUGGAUCCGCGUCCCAUUAGCUAGUUGGUGGUGUAAUGGACCACCAAGGCGACGAUGGGUAGCCGGCCUGAGAGGGCGAACGGCCACACUGGGACUGAGACACGGCCCAGACUCCUACGGGAGGCAGCAGUGGGGAAUCUUCCGCAAUGGGCGAAAGCCUGACGGAGCAACGCCGCGUGAGGGAAGAAGGCCUUCGGGUUGUAAACCUCUGUUUUCAGGGACGAACAAAUGACGGUACCUGAAGAGUAAGCUCCGGCUAACUACGUGCCAGCAGCCGCGGUAAUACGUAGGGAGCAAGCGUUGUCCGGAUUUACUGGGCGUAAAGGGCGCGUAGGUGGUUCAUUAAGUUAGAGGUAAAAGUUCGGGGCUCAACCCCGUGAUGCCUCUGAUACUGGUGAACUUGAGUGCAGGAGAGGGUAGCAGAAUUCCCAGUGUAGCGGUGAAAUGCGUAGAUAUUGGGAGGAAUACCAGUGGCGAAGGCGGCUAUCUGGACUGUAACUGACACUGAGGCGCGAAAGCGUGGGGAGCGAACAGGAUUAGAUACCCUGGUAGUCCACGCCGUAAACGAUGAGUGCUAGGUGUUGGGGGUAUCGACCCCCCCAGUGCCGUAGUUAACACAAUAAGCACUCCGCCUGGGGAGUACGGUCGCAAGACUGAAACUCAAAGGAAUUGACGGGGGCCCGCACAAGCGGUGGAGUAUGUGGUUUAAUUCGACGCAACGCGAAGAACCUUACCAGGGCUUGACAUC